CCCCCGCCUUCUAAAUACACACACACUCACUGACAGAUACGCGUGCACUAGCUAACAGAAACACAAACUCACUGACACACACAGUCAAACACACACUCACUAGCAGAGAGACACUCACUCACACACACACACUAACAGACACACACACUCACUAAUAGACACACACACACUCACACUCACACUCACUAACAGACACACACACACACUAACAGACAAACUCACACUCACUAACAGACACACACACUCUAACACACACUCACUAACACAUGUACUUUUUAAACCCCCCCCUCCUCCAGCCUCCUUACCUUUGGGAGUGCUGGGGAGGGAAGGGGUUCUCUAUCUCCCUGGUGGUCCAGUGGCUGCUGG